rnacentral:rRNA from 1 species
CUGCGGGUGCUAUACAUGCAAGUCGAGCGGACAGAAGGGAGCUUGCUCCCGGAUGUUAGCGGCGCCACGGGUGAGUAACACGUGGGUAACCUGCCUGUAAGACUGGGAUAACUCCGGGAAACCGGAGCUAAUACCGGAUAGUUCCUUGAACCGCAUGGUUCAAGGAUGAAAGACGGUUUCGGCUGUCACUUACAGAUGGACCCGCGGCGCAUUAGCUAGUUGGUGAGGUAACGGCUCACCAAGGCGACGAUGCGUAGCCGACCUGAGAGGGUGAUCGGCCACACUGGGACUGAGACACGGCCCAGACUCCUACGGGAGGCAGCAGUAGGGAAUCUUCCGCAAUGGACGAAAGUCUGACGGAGCAACGCCGCGUGAGUGAUGAAGGUUUUCGGAUCGUAAAGCUCUGUUGUUAGGGAAGAACAAGUGCAAGAGUAACUGCUUGCACCUUGACGGUACCUAACCAGAAAGCCACGGCUAACUACGUGCCAGCAGCCGCGGUAAUACGUAGGUGGCAAGCGUUGUCCGGAAUUAUUGGGCGUAAAGGGCUCGCAGGCGGUUUCUUAAGUCUGAUGUGAAAGCCCCCGGCUCAACCGGGGAGGGUCAUUGGAAACUGGGAAACUUGAGUGCAGAAGAGGAGAGUGGAAUUCCACGUGUAGCGGUGAAAUGCGUAGAGAUGUGGAGGAACACCAGUGGCGAAGGCGACUCUCUGGUCUGUAACUGACGCUGAGGAGCGAAAGC